UGGGGAAUUGUUCGCAAUGGGCGCAAGCCUGACGACGCAACGCCGCGUGGAGGAUGAAGGUCUUCGGAUCGUAAACUCCUGUUGCCCGGGACGAAUGGCUUCGACCUAAUACGUCGGAGUAUGACGGUACCGGGUGAGGAAGCCCCGGCUAACUCUGUGCCAGCAGCCGCGGUAAUACAGAGGGGGCAAGCGUUGUUCGGAAUUACUGGGCGUAAUGGGCGCGUAGGCGGCCUGUUAAGUCGAACGUGAAAUCCCUGGGCUCAACCCAGGAACUGCGUCCGAUACUGGCUGGCUUGAAUCCGGGAGAGGGAUGCGGAAUUCCAGGUGUAGCGGUGAAAUGCGUAGAUAUCUGGAGGAACACCGGUGGCGAAGGCGGCAUCCUGGACCGGUAUUGACGCUGAGGCGCGAAAGCCAGGGGAGCAAACGGGAUUAGAUACCCCGGUAGUCCCUGAGCGGGCUGGCAAGGCGCAU
rnacentral:rRNA from 1 species